rnacentral:rRNA from 1 species
AUUGAACGCUGGCGGUAGGCCUAACACAUGCAAGUCGAACGGCAGCACAGUAAGAGCUUGCUCUUACGGGUGGCGAGUGGCGGACGGGUGAGAAAUACAUCGCAAUCUACUUUUUCGUGCGGGAGAACGUAGGGAAACUUACGCUAAUACCGCAUACGACCUACGGGUGAAAGCAGGGGAUCUUCGGACCUCGCGCGAUUGAAUGAGCCGAUGUCGGAUUAGCUAGUUGGCGGGGUAAAGGCCCACCAAGGCGACGAUCCGUAGCUGGUCUGAGAGGAUGAUCAGCCACACUGGAACUGAGACACGGUCCAGACUCCUACGGGAGGCAGCAGUGGGGAAUAUUGGACAAUGGGCGCAAGCCUGAUCCAGCCAUACCGCGUGGGUGAAGAAGGCCUUCGGGUUGUAAAGCCCUUUUGUUGGGAAAGAAAAGCAGCAGGUUAAUACCCCGCUGUUCUGACGGUACCCAAAGAAUAAGCACCGGCUAACUUCGUG